CAUGAGGUCACUGCCUGCGUGCAUCUCAAGGAUGGCCAGAGAAUGGCCUCCUCAGAUGAACGGAGUCCACCCUCAGGAGGGACCAAGCUGGAAAUUCUCCUCACAACGUCUCACUGCUUCUGCCUCCCACCUGUCCUGCAUCGGUCAUUUGUCAAGUCUCAUCGGUUCUAUUUCCACACGAGUCAUGCGGUCAUUCAGCACAUGUUUUUUGAAUCACUGCUGCGGCUCAGGAACUAUCGGAGUCACCAGGAAACAGCAAACAAGAAGAGAGACAAAGUCCCUGCUCCUGUGGGGUUUAUAAUCGGGGCAGAGGGGGGGGACCAUAGCCACAUGGAUGUUUGAGGAAAGUAAUUUCAAAUUGUGACAUGCGCCACAAACACAGCAAAACGGGAUCAUCAGGUUUCCUGAUCCAACCUCCUGUAUAUUUCCCCAGCCACUGCCCUCCUGUAAUCUUUUUUUCUUAGUUGGCCAAUUAUGGGCACUUCCGACCCGGUCUUCCCAUUCCCUGCCUGCUGUCUGAUGCAUGGCCGGUCAUGUGAUUUCACAUCUCUAAAGUCUCAAUAUGCACCAGAGUGGUGGCCACGUGAAAUACCAAUCCUUACCCUGCCAUCGAAGACACUCAUGUUGUGGUCCCCCCGAGCCCUCCCAGACUCAUCUCCCAACAUGCCCCUGGCACAUUCUGUGUUUCGAGCAAACUGGGCAACUCAGGGGGCCUACGCACUCCAGGGGCUUUCCUGGCAUUCUUCCCUCCCCUGCAAACCCGCAAACUUCUGUUUGGCUGAUCUCAGAGGUCAUCUACCUGUUGACGCCCCUCCUGAUGCUCUUCCCUUCUACCCCGAGGUAAAGAGUAACCUUUCCUUUUUUGGGCCCCCGAGGGAACUUAUUUGUAUUUGUCUCUUGGGCUUUAUCUUACACUGUCUUAUUCUAGAGUGUCUGCUGCCCUGUCUGAUCACUCCUGAGAGCAAGGAUGGUGGCUUCAUAAAUUCUGGAUUCCUGUUGCUGACCACUGUGCUUGACAAAUGGCACUGUUUCUAGAUGACGGGGAUAUAGGAAUGAAAAUGAAAGAAGGAAAGAAAGUUUCUGCUCUCGUGGUGUUUUAUUCUAGCAGUGAUCUACAAGCAAACAAAUCAGGAAAACAUGUAGUAUACACUUUGGGGAAAAAUUAAAAAGGAAGCUGCAUAAGGGAAGCAAAUUGAGGAGUGUGAGAUGCUACCAGAUACGGGGUGGUUAUCACAGAAGCUAUGCUACUCAGGUCCCCUACACGGUGAGACGUUCAUUCCGCCAGCUACCAUCAAUAGUGGCAUCUGACAGGUCACAGCUGAGUCCUCUCCAUGAACUGCUCUCUGUGGGACAAAGCUGCCUUGCUCAAGGAUAUGCCCCUCCUGGGGGUAGCCUGCAUCCAAUAACUGGCUCAUGCAGUGGUUCAGAUCUCUUUCGGCUCAACUGGAACAAUUCUGAGGGUCCAUCCCAGCUCUCAAGCUCCCUGUAGAAUCAGCUGAGGACUCUGCCGUAACUCUCUUAGCAGUUCGGCUUCCUCCUGCUUAGUGCUGCACCUUUCAUCCUCACCCAUCACAGGUGCUGGCCCCACAUGCACUCCCCUCAAAUCUCCUCAUGUAAAUCUCAGAGUCUCAGAGUGAGAAAGAGGAGAGUGGCAUUUGGAUUUUAUUCUCAUUAGAGUUAUCAAACAGGUCCUUGGUAUGUGAUUCUGGAGCUCAGGGAAGACGUGGAGUAGACGAUACAGAUUUGGAAAUUGUCAGUAGUAGUUAAAGCCAUAGGACUAGAUAAAAUUCAUCCAGGAAGGAAGUGUAAAUAGAGAAUAAAAGAGGCCCAGUGGUGGAUUUUGAAGCCCUCCAACUCUUAGUGAUCAGGAGAGAUGGAAAGAAACAGCAAAGAAAAUUGAAAAGCAGCUAUUAUGAUAGCAGAAUUGUGGAAUGGUGUCCCGGGAACCAAUUCCUGGAAAUGCUCCAAGGAGGAGAGAAUGAUCAACUGGGUCGAUUGCUACUGACAUAUCAAAUUGCAAACUGAACUGGUGAUUAGAUUUGGCAACGUGGAGGUCACUGACGACAAGAGUGAUUUCGUUGGAAUGGUGGAGCAAGCGUGUAACAGCGGAAUGUGCAUAACGUAUCUUAGACAAGAUUUAUUAGACGCCUCUUACGUUACCUGGCUAUAUUUCUACUUCCUCCAUAUUUGAGAGGGUAGGUGAUUUGUAUUCCCAGUGCCUACAACAGUACCUGGCAUGUCGUAUGUGCUCAAUACAUAUUUUCUAAAUGAAUGAACCACAUGGGCCCAUUUUUAUAUAUACCCACGCUUCACUGACCUUAGUAAGUAUAGAAUUUUUAACAUGAAAAGAGAGUAUAAUCUUUCAAUCUAAUUCAACUGCCUCUUUUUACA